rnacentral:rRNA from 1 species
UAGACGGAAGGGCACCACCAGGAGUGGAGCCUGCGGCCGAAAUGGA